AACGAACGCUGGCGGCAGGCCUAACACAUGCAAGUCGAGCGCCCCGCAAGGGGAGCGGCGGACGGGUGAGUAACGCGUGGGAAUAUGCCCUUUGCUACGGAAUAGUCUCGGGAAACUGGGGGUAAUACCGUAUACGCCCUUUGGGGGAAAGAUUUAUCGGCGUAGGAUUAGCCCGCGUUGGAUUAGGUAGUUGGUGGGGUAAUGGCCUACCAAGCCGACGAUCCAUAGCUGGUUUGAGAGGAUGAUCAGCCACACUGGGACUGAGACACGGCCCAGACUCCUACGGGAGGCAGCAGUGGGGAAUCUUAGACAAUGGGGGCAACCCUGAUCUAGCCAUGCCGCGUGAGUGAUGAAGGCCUUAGGGUUGUAAAGCUCUUUCAGCUGGGAAGACAAUGACGGUACCAGCAGAAGAAGCCCCGGCUAACUCCGUG
rnacentral:rRNA from 1 species